rnacentral:rRNA from 1 species
GAUGAACGCUGGCGGCAGGCCUAACACAUGCAAGUCGAACGCCCUAGCAAUAGGGAGUGGCAGACGGGUGAGUAACACGUGGGAACGUGCCCUUCGGUUCGGAAUAACUCAGGGAAACUUGAGCUAAUACCGGAUAAGUGCGAGAGCAGAAAGAUUUAUCGCCGAAGGAUCGGCCCGCGUCCGAUUAGCUAGUUGGUGAGGUAAUGGCUCACCAAGGCGACGAUCGGUAGCUGGUCUGAGAGGAUGACCAGCCACACUGGGACUGAGACACGGCCCAGACUCCUACGGGAGGCAGCAGUGGGGAAUAUUGGACAAUGGGCGCAAGCCUGAUCCAGCCAUGCCGCGUGAGUGAUGAAGGCCCUAGGGUUGUAAAGCUCUUUCGCCAGGGACGAUAAUGACGGUACCUGGAUAAGAAGCCCCGGCUAACUUCGUGCCAGCCGCCGCCGUAA